rnacentral:rRNA from 1 species
AGACCCGAAACCCGGUGAUCUAGCCAUGGGCAGGUUGAAGGUUGGGUAACACUAACUGGAGGACCGAACCGACUAAUGUUGAAAAAUUAGCGGAUGACCUGUGGCUGGGGGUGAAAGGCCAAUCAAACCGGGAGAUAGCUGGUUCUCCCCGAAAGCUAUUUAGGUAGCGCCUCGUGAAUUCAUCUCCGGGGGUAGAGCACUGUUUCGGCUAGGGGGCCAUCCCGGCUUACCAACCCGAUGCAAACUGCGAAUACCGGAGAAUGUUAUCACGGGAGACACACGGCGGGUGCUAACGUCCGUCGUGAAGAGGGAAACAACCCAGACCGCCAGCUAAGGUCCCAAAGUCAUGGUUAAGUGGGAAACGAUGUGGGAAGGCCCAGACAGCCAGGAUGUUGGCUUAGAAGCAGCCAUCAUUUAAAGAAAGCGUAAUAGCUCACUGGUCGAGUCGGCCUGCGCGGAAGAUGUAACGGGGCUAAACCAUGCACCGAAGCUGCGGCAGCGAACGUAUCACUUAAAGCGAUUCAGCGGGUUACGAUUGACGGAGCGAAGCGACGUCAAAGCGUAUACAAAGUCGAGUCGGUUUAAGGAUACGUUCGUUGGGUAGGGGAGCGUUCUG